rnacentral:lncRNA from 10 species
GGGAAGGGCACCGAUCAGAAUGGUGGGUUGGGGCAGAGAAACAGCAGCUGAGGUCCGGAGGGAGGGAGCUACAAAGGAGGUGAGUGUGCAGAGAAGCAGGUGGUGUGGGUCAGAGCAUACAAGUGAGAAACUGGGAAAGACAUUCAGCACUGAUCUGCUCAUGAGGGAGGGAGGGUGCUGGCCCCUUCCUCAUUUUCCCCGAUUUCCCUCUUUCCUUCUGCUUCCCCUCAGGUCCCCCUGAGUUCCCCCUCCUCUACUCCUCCACUCCCCUCACUUCCUCCAUCUGCAUCAUCUCUCACAUUUACAGUGUGGAAGAGGAGGGUGUGGCUACCCCAGGAGAACUUUCUGGGAUGGAGAGGACAAGACCACAGUGGACAGGCUGUUGGGUGGGGCCCUUCUAAGCUGUGAGAGUGACCUGGGCUGGAGCCCAGGGUGGGCCUGGCCUAGAGCAUAAGAGGGGCUGUGGGGAGGGGGGAACGCAGCCCUGAGACCUGAGGAGAGGCAGGCCCUGAAGGAAAUGAGCAGGCUUCAGCUGAGGCCACAUUGACAGGACCUCCUGGUGACAGCCUGAGGUGGCCAGGACACUUACCCCCUGGCUGCCAGCCUGCUCUAGCUCCAUCGGAUACAGGGUUCUCUUCUCACUCGCCCUGCACGGCACUCCUGUUGCCCCAGAGCCGGGGGUGGUGGCUGGGGCACCGGGAAAUGUUAUGAAUGGCAGAACUGCUCCAAGCCCCCAGCCUUCCUCUUGAGGAGGAGGAGAGAAUCCGACCAUGAGGUAUUUUCCUGGCGCUAAGGAUAACCUUGUAGGAGGCAGAGGGAAUCCAAUUAGACAUGCAAGGCUGGGGAGGCUGAGGGCGUGUGGGAGAAGGCUGCUUUUCACUUUCUGGCUUCCCCGCGCCCUCAAUGAGAAAUUAUAGCUUGGCUCCUUCGUUACAGCCCCCCUCCGCUCUCCUCUUUCCUUUCCCAGGGCCGUCAUCACACUCAGCUUUUCCCACCACCAGCCCCUGCACAGAGGGGGAAACAGAGUCCCACAACGAUGGGACCCGCGAGGCAGAAGCCCUCCUGGGCAGUGCCAUCACGGUUCCCUUCCUGUCUCUAGUUGCCCCUGGAAUUUGGGGGAGGCUGCCUCCUGUACCCCUGGAGUUGGUUGCCCAUCUACCCCUGUCUCUACUGCUUGUCCUGAGCUUAUCUGAGCUCUGCAGUGAUUGUCCAUCUCGCCCCUCUCUGCUUGGGCUCGGCACAGGUAAAGCAGCAAAUGACCUCCUUCCUCCCAGACCCAAAGUCCCCAACUGCCCCCGGUGGACAGAUCCAUGUGCUUCCAUGUGAGACUGGAUCCUGUUGCCCGGAAGAUGCCCCACUUAGUCCUCUUUAGAGGCAGUUAUGGGGAGACAGAGCUUGAACUUUUUUUUUUUUUUUUGAGAUGGAGUUUCGCUCUUGUUGCCCCGGCUGGAGUGCAGUGGCAUGGUCUCAGCUCACUGCAACCUCCGCCUCUUGGGUUCGAGUGAUAACUUGGACAGGCUCCUGGGCCUUCUUGGGCCCUCACCAAGUACGCCCACUGAUAGCAACUGCUCCACCCAAGAUGCUUUUCCUGCCUUCCUGUUGUCCCUGUUUCCCUCGCCUGUGAUCCGGGGAUGGGAACGAGGCUUCUGCUGAUGGAGCGGGCCUGGGGCCACCCUGUGGACUGGGAUGCAGAGGCCUGAGUGGAGAGCUCCCCAGCAAAGCCUCCUGGGAGAAGGUUCUGGGCAUGCUGUCUCGUGGCUGCUGGGCUCCCGGAUGGCUCCCCAGCCUUCCUUCUUGCCCUACCCUGGCCUUCUCUCCUUGCUCUGCUGAGGCCAUCUGAAGGGGGAUUUUUCGGGUGAGGCAAGAAGUUGCUUUGGCAGAGCGACCAUGCUCUGAUUACACGAACACAUUUGCAGAUUCCGGCACCCUCCCAUCUUCAACGACCAUCCCAAGAGCACAAACCUCCUGAUUUCUUUCCCAAACCCAUGUAAAAAGGAGCAAGCCUGGGUCUCCUUUCCCUCCGAGCCCACCUUUUCUAGUCGUUGGUAAAUGAACAGCAGCGAGAAACACACCACAAGAGCGUCCAACCAGAAAGAGCCUAGAAAAAAUCUGUUUCCCAACACAAACUUGGUUCCAACGGAGUCUUUUGUGAGUGUGAAGAAAAUAUGAAUUAUAGUUCCUGGCCGUGCAAAGUCCUCACUAAAAAGAAAAAAAAAAUAAGAAAGAAAGAAAAUGCUACAUCUGUUUCCAUUUCAGUUGCUCACAUGUUUAAAUACAUCGAUGAGGCAUCCGUCUAAAUUUACCAGGUCCUGAGCAAUUAACAAUUAAAAAAAAAAGACUAAAAGAUGAUGGCAACGUUUGAAAAAAUGCAAAAUGCUAAGAUGCGUGUGUUCAUGUGUUCAUUUCUAUCACACUGCAUUCCUUUGCAAUCCUGGCACUCCAGGAAAACUGGAGCAAGGCCUCUAAAAAGGAACAGGGCAUCAUUAGCGCAGCCAGAUCCCUAUCUUAGCCUGCAGCAAUUACCAUGCUUCCAAGCGAGCUGCGAAGCGCUUUCAUUACUGGGGGACUGAGGGGUCACUCACCUCCAGCCCCCAUCUUGGGCUAAAACAAGCAUUUUCCGAACUAAGCAUUCCAGUUUCAUUUCAAUCUGUAAUUGCUUUGAUUUCGGUAUGCGUAGAACACGGAGGCUUCAUGACCAAGAAUUUUAUUAGUCAAUAAGUUUGCUACUGUUAUGAAUCAUUAGCCCUCAUUUUACUCCUUUCCCACACUGGCCUGAACCAGUGUGACAGAUUUCUUUUGUCCUCCUGUGGGGACCAGUGAAAACACCCUGCAAGACCACCUGUUCCAGGGAUAAUUGGUUUCUCCAGGUCACAGAGGUGGGAUAAAAUCAGUGGAUGUAAACCUGGAGCAUUAUUUCUGCUUUCAUACUAAAGGAAGUCAAUGCCGGGCACUGGAGUUUACUGCAAAGUUCUUACAUUUAUUUAAAGUUUUAAAAUUUUCAAGCUGCUUAAUAUCUAUUAGCUCAAAGCCCUGUGAAGUAAGUAGGAAGGUACCCUUCUUUUCAGAGAGAGGGUCAAAAAGCUGCUGAUCAGAGUUAGGUAGGAAUAGAGGGAACCAGGGCUUCCUGCCUCAGUCCUGACCUUCUUUCAAUUCUACAACUUGCCUCACUGCAAAUUCCCUUCACAGGAGGAAAUCCAGAAGGUGAGCCAUUAGGGAUACAGAGCUCAAAUCCUGGACUCUACUAUUGCCUCCUGGAAGUCCAGCACUCCCUCUUUGGGCCUAAUAAAUGACAGCCUGAGUCCAUGGAUGGUUCUGACCAGGAACUUGUCCGGACGAAGGCAAAGAAACGCUUCCUCCAGGCCUUAGGAGGAGUUGGGAUCUGCAGAUGAACAGAUCACAGGAGAUGCAUCUUGGUUGGGACAACAAUUAUGCCAACUGCUUAUUGUUUUUGAUAAACUGGCCACAGAUCCUAGUUAGCAAGAACAACAAACCUCACCAACGCCAGAAUCCAGAGACCAUGAGACCAAAAAAAGAAAUUCAUAUAAGAGAAAAAAAUGAUCCAUCCAAUAUAAUCAGUGCCUGCAAUGCUGCACACAGAUAGGUGGUCUCACAGCCUCACUACUUAAGAAUCCCAAUGCAUGACUCCAGGUGCUAGAGGACUGGAUAUGGCCCUACCCUUCAGGAAUCGACUGAGUUACAAAGUGGCUUUGAGAUUGGCAGCAGCCUCUAGGUAAGUGAGGAGCUUUGCUGGUGUUCAUUUUAACUCUAAUUUCCAUAGGAGAUGAAACCUGACUGGUGACUUCCUUUGUAUUUCCCUACAUCUGCCAGGACAAAUCUUUUUGCAGAGGGCUCACCAAAAUAUGUAUAUUCACUACAUAUCUGCUUCUGGGACACUAUCAGGUCUGGCACCCACUCCUCCUACACAACAUGCAUACACAAUAGUAUUAUAGGGGGAAUGAUAAAAAUAAGUAGUCUUGCCGUAGGGACCAGUCUCAGGAACGUGCCUGGUGGAAAUGAAUGUAAUAGUGCCUUGAUAAGAGCCAGGAAUACAAACCACCUCCACGACUGCCAGUAAAGGACAGAGAGAUAAGCAGGGGCUGGGGCAAUGAGGGAGCAAAGGAGUUAAUGUCUUUUCUCCCCGUCUUCACUUAGGGAAUUUGAAUUCUUGAUCAAGCGAUUUGUCAGGAUUGUUGUGUAUUUACUGUAAUUACAGAACAUCAAAUGUGCAUUGACGUAAUUACCAUAAAUAUGUGUAAAGACAUUAUAACGUGUAAUUAUGUCAUAUAAUUCUUUAAUAAAGCAUGCAGAAGAAAAAUUACUCUGCACAUGCUCAAUGCAUAUCUUCUCCUGACUCUUUCUACUGAAGGUUUUAUUUGCUCCCUCCCCCUCCCUCUUUUCAAAUUCCAGAGACAGUUUCUCCCAUUUAGGAUUAACUAGCAGAAGGGUGAGAUUAGAAUGUGUGU